rnacentral:sRNA from 1 species
UACGCCGCUCCAGGGGGAAGGUUGAGAACCUUCGAUAAAGGUUCGGGUCGAGUGUAAGCGAGACAACGUUGCCGCAGGCAACGGCCCGAAGGGUGGCGAACCGCAGGCGAAGAUAAAGACAGCUCACCCGAAAU